AUUGAACGCUGGUGGCAGGCCUAACACAUGCAAGUCGAACGAGUGGCGGACGGGUGCGUAAUGUCUGGGAAACUGCCUGAUGGAGGGGGAUAACUACUGGAAACGGUAGCUAAUACCGCAUACCAUCGGAUGUGCCCAGAUGGGAUUAGCUAGUAGGGGGGGUAAAGGCUCACCUAGGCGACGAUCCCUAGCUGGUCUGAGAGGAGGACCAGCCACACUGGAACUGAGACACGGGCCAGACUCCUACGGGAGGCAGCAGUGGGGAAUAUUGCACAAUGGGCGCAAGCCUGAUGCAGCCAUGCCGCGUGUAUGAAGAAGGCCUUCGGGUUGUAAAGUACUUUCAGCGGGGAGGCGUUACCCGCAGAAGAAGCACCGGCUAACUCCGUGCCAGCAGCCGCGGUAAUAC
rnacentral:rRNA from 1 species